rnacentral:ncRNA from 2 species
ACCUCAUCCAGAGGGGCAGAGGGAACGGCCCGUUGAAGCCCCGGCAACCACCGCGCGUGUCUCGAUGACGAGGCCCACCCGCUCGGCAGGUGCUAAUUCCGUCCCCGUUCCGGCAGGUCGCCGCGGGGAAAGAUGAGAG